GGAUGUGAGGGCAAUCUGGCUGCAACAUCUGUCACCCCAUGUGUCACCAGGGUUAAUUUGGCUGACGUGGCUGUUUAGGUAGUGUCUCCUGCCUCCCUCACCUCCCCAGAUGCAACUCUCUUAGUCAAAGACAAUGAUACCUGACCUACAUACAGUAGGAUACCUGACUCAGUGCACACUACAGAGAUCACACAAGUGCUGAAAAUCCUCAGGUCAAGUGGUCAGGAUGUACGGUGCUGAGUAAAAGGUCAUACUUAGGAUGAAACACGAGGAACAGCUCAUGUAUUUCCUCUU
rnacentral:sRNA from 1 species